GGUUUGCGUGAGGGAUAGUAGUGGAAAUCCUUUUUGCCCCUCUUUUUGGGGCAAAAAAGAUUAUUUCACAAUAUUUCAUUUCUUU
rnacentral:sRNA from 1 species